GCCUGGCUGGCCCAGUUGUAGAGCAUAUGACUCUUGAUCUCAGGGUUGUGAGUUCAAGCCCCAUGUUGGGCA
rfam:Felis catus isolate Cinnamon breed Abyssinian chromosome X, whole genome shotgun sequence.